rnacentral:rRNA from 1 species
GAUGAACGCUGGCGGCGUGCCUAAUACAUGCAAGUCGAGCGAACGGACGAGAAGCUUGCUUCUCUGAUGUUAGCGGCGGACGGGUGAGUAAUACGUGGAUAACCUACCUAUAAGACUGGGAUAACUUCGGGAAACCGGAGCUAAUACCGGAUAAUAUUUUGAACCGCAUGGUUCAAAAGUGAAAGACGGUCUUGCUGUCACUUAUAGAUGGAUCCGCGCUGCAUUAGCUAGUUGGUAAGGUAACGGCUUACCAAGGCAACGAUGCAUAGCCGACCUGAGAGGGUGAUCGGCCACACUGGAACUGAGACACGGUCCAGACUCCUACGGGAGGCAGCAGUAGGGAAUCUUCCGCAAUGGGCGAAAGCCUGACGGAGCAACGCCGCGUGAGUGAUGAAGGUCUUCGGAUCGUAAAACUGUGUUAUUAGGGAAGAACAUAUGUGUAAGUAACUGUGCACAUCUUGACGGUACCUAAUCAGAAAGCCACGGCUAACUACGUG